rnacentral:rRNA from 1 species
AUUGAACGCUGGCGGCAUGCCUUACACAUGCAAGUCGAACGGCAGCACGGGAGCAAUCCUGGUGGCGAGUGGCGAACGGUGAGUAAUAUAUCGGAACGUACCUUUCAGUGGGGAUAACGUAGCGAAAGUUACGCUAAUACCGCAUAUUCUGUGAGCAGGAAAGCAGGGGAUCGCAAGACCUUGCGCUGAUUGAGCGGCCGAUAUCAGAUUAGCUAGUUGGUGAGGUAAAGGCUCACCAAGGCGACGAUCUGUAGCGGGUCUGAGAGGAUGAUCCGCCACACUGGAACUGAGACACGGUCCAGACUCCUACGGGAGGCAGCAGUGGGGAAUUUUGGACAAUGGGCGCAAGCCUGAUCCAGCCAUGCCGCGUGAGUGAAGAAGGCCUUCGGGUUGUAAAGCUCUUUCGGCCGGGAAGAAAUCGCACAGGUUAAUACCCUGUGUGGAUGACGGUACCGGAAUAAGAAGCACCGGCUAACUACGUG